CUCCGGCCUUCUUACACAGCGAGGCCCAGCCCAGUUACCAUUCAGCUUUGUCCCUUUAUAUGCCCCCUCCCCUCCAAACCCUAAAUCCUCAGCCCUCACUCGUCUCCAGCCGUAAUCCCCCCCUCCAUGCGAAAUCACACCAGCCAUUAGCCAUCUGACCUCGAAUCCCCCAUGGUUCUUCGAUCCAUCUCCUUCUCCCUGCAUUUCUCAGCUUCUUCUCUUUCUGCUUCAAUGCCUUCUUCGCUUUCCUUCCUUUGGUGUUGCUGGGUCUUCAUUUGUAAAAGAGGACUAGGGUUUCGCCGCGCCAGCAGAGUUGGCAGAUGACGACAAGCAAGACAGGGACUCUGCAGCGCCCCCGAUUUCAUAUCGCGGGUCGCGAAUGAUGCAUCCGUCUAUGGGAAAUCUCCGAUGCUAUCCGCGCCAUCUUUGUUUCUGCAUAAGUUGGGUGGAGUGUUUCGCCUCGUGAACAGAAAAAAUCAGCAUAAUUUUUUUUAGCAUAUGACGAUAAGCAAGACAGGGACUCUGCAGCGCUCCUGAUUUCAAAUCGGGGGCGCGGAUGAUGCAUCCGUCUAGGGGAAUCUCCGAUGCUAUUUUCACUUCACUUGCUUGUUCUUGCAUUUUUGGUUUGCCCUUUUGUUGUUUUGAUUUAGCUGCCUGUAGCAGCGUUCAAUACAGUAUGACCAUUUCACAAUGAAUUCCUUUUAACUUGGCACCUCGUUGUUGCACUGAACUGCCAGCCUGAUGAUUAUCCUUGAGAACGGAGAUCUGAAUCCAUUUCUCCGUUGAAGCCCGCUUGGUCGCCGUGCUUGACCUGUCAUGGCGUUUGUUUCUUGGCUGGGUUUCUCUCAGGAGUAAAUUGCAAAACCCCCAACAUGCAAGAUGCAUGCAUGCAUGCAUCUCGCGCACACACACACACAUACAUACGCACGAAGCAGGCUGAAUGGGCUCCGGGAAUGGAUGUGUAGAAGCAAAAGUUAUGAAGGCUUUGGCAGAUCGGGUGAAUGCCCCCACUAGAUUCAUGGUAUACUUGUUUAAGUAGUGUUUGGUAUCAGUUUGAGGCUGCCCACCUUUAAUGCCUGGUGGUUUGCUGUAGACAUCAUCAUGCGAAUAUUUAUUUGGAUCUGAACAUAACUUAUGUGUGAAUUGUAGUGCUUAUGUUUGGACAUCGCAAGAUUAGAAGAAACCAGAACCAAGGCCUGAGUGCUUAAGGAGUAUUUGUAUAUCAAAUAUGGAACCUCUGGCUAGCCUGAUGAUUACAUUACCUUUGGAUAAAGAAUAAAGUUCUGAGAUCUCAUCUCCGUUGAAGCUUGCCUAGCUUAGGCUGCUGUGGUGGAUCCUACUCCCUCCUUCCAUAAAUAAUGUAGCAAUUUACUCUUAGGAGUAAAUUGGAACAUACAUGCACAACACACACAUAUGUAUAUAUAUAUAUAUAUAUAUAUAUAUAUAUAUAUAUAUAUAUAUAUAUAUAUGUAUCUCUGAUCUUCCACCAACUUGGCUGGCUGGGCUCCGGUGAGUGUAUGAAGCCACAAAAAGUAUGAAGGCUUUGCAAAUCAAUAGUUCUUGGUUCUGUAAAAUUAUUCUAGUUGAGUUGUUUGGACUCUGCAUUAGCUAAUCUCAAAUGCACAGCUUCUUUUAAAUUGUUGCUUUUUCCUUGUUUCAUAUUGAUGUUUGCAGUUAGAUAUAUUGUCUUUGACAUUGGAGCAUUAUGAUCUAGCUGCCUGUUAAUUUAAAUGCACUUCCCUGUUGAAGCCUGCUUGGCCACUCUGGUGCAUUGGCAAUACCAAGGUUUUAUAGGAAUUGAGAUGCAUGUCAUCUCACUUCACAUGAUUUUCCUAAACUAUGAACCAAAGGAGGCCUUAAAUUCCUUUGACCCAGCUGGCUGAUCAAAAGAAUGCUCUCCAUGUGUUUAUAUAGCGUUUUCCAACUCUGAUUGCUUAACUGCCAUUUGGCUGUACUUUUGGAGGGUCAGUAGGGUGUUUCUGCAGUGCCCUGAAGUUUCUAUUCUUGUGAUCUUUUCUGCCAACUGAAUAUUGUUGCUCUCAUUGGUAUGUGCACCUUGAGAUUAUCUUGUAUAUGUCUCAGAGGUGGUUGCUGGUUUCUUGUGUUAAUUUCUUCUGUAGUACUUCCUUCUGCCUGCAUUUUUCAUUGACUACAGUUUAAGCAUUUUGGAAUGGAAAAUGCUUAGUCUUGAGGCAUUUUGUUGUUGAGGUAUGUGGUUGACCGAACUGCCAGCCUGGUGAUUAGCCUAAGAACUGAAGAAUGAAGAUCUGAAUCUAAUUCUCCAUCGAAGCCUGCUUGGCCGCUGUGCUUGUUGCCUUUCUUUCUUGGCGGGGUUUCUAUGGGAAUCUCUGAUGCUAUUCUCACUUAACUCCUGCACCAUCUUUGCUUUGUUUCUGCAUCAAUUGGGUGGAGUGUUUCGCCUUGUGAACAAAAAAAUUAGCAUAUGAUGAUAAGCAAGACAGGGACUCUGCAGCGGCUCCGGCUCAGAUCAGGGCCGCGAAUGAUGCAUUCGUCUAGGGGAAUCUCUGAUGCUAAUCUAAAUUCACAGAAUCUUCAGUCUUUGCCUGAAUGGACAUGAAUACCACUGGUGUUUGCUAUUUGUAGCUGUUUUUGUAUGGAUUUUAAUCUGACGUUUGCUAAAUUUGUGUUGCAACAAAUCCGGUACAAACAUAAUUAGCAAAUGACGGUAAGCAAGACAGGGACUCUGCAGUGCUCCCGAUUUCAGAUUGGGGCCGCGAAUGAUGCAUCCGUCUAGGGGAAUCUCUGAUGCUAAUUUCCUUUUAGCUUUUUUCUCCUUGCAUUUUUUAUCUUGAUUUAGGUGCUAUUAACUGUGGUAAAUACAGUGUGAGCAUUUUCACAAUGAAUUCUUUUAGCCGUAGGCACUUCCUUGUUCAGAUAAGUGGGGUGCACUGAACUGCCAGCCUGAUGAUUAUCCUCGAGAAUGGAGAUCUGAAUCCACUUCUCCGUGGAAGCCCGCUUGGCCGCUGUGCUUGUUGAAUAUCCUGGUUUCUUGGCUGGGUUCCUCCAGGAGUAAAAUGCAAAACCCCCAAAGUGCACCCAUCCAUUGAUGCAUCUCUCUCACACACACACACAUGUACGCAUGAAGCAGGCCAAAUGGGCUCCGGGAGUGGAUGUGUAGAAGCAAAAGUUAUGAAGGCUUUGGCAGAUCAGAUGAAUGUCCCCACUAGAUUCAUGGUAUGCUUGGAGAAGUACUAGAUGUUAGUUUGAGGCUGCCCACCUUCAAUGGUUUAAUGCCCUGGUGUUUUGCUGUAGAAAUCAUCGUGCCAAUAUUUGUUGGGUUCUGAACAUAACUUACCUUCAAUGGUUUAAUGCCCUGGUGUUUUGCUGUAGAAAUCAUUAUGGCAAUAUUUGUUGGGUUCUGAACAUAACUUGUGUGUGAAUUGUAGUACUUAUGUUUGGGCAUAGCAAGAUUAGCAGAUAUGGGAAUCAAGGCCAGAAUAUGUAAUAGUGUCUGUUUAUCAAAUAUGGAACCUUGUGUGCUUGGCCAGCCUGAUGAUUACACCUGUUCAUAAAGAAUGAAGUUCUAAGGUCUGAAUGCUCUUCUCAGUUCCGUUGAAGCUCGCCUAGCUUAGGUUGCUGUGGUGGAUCCUACUCCCUCCUUCCCAAAAUAAUGUACUCCCUCCGUCCACAAAUAUAAGAUGUUCUAACUUUUUGCUGAAUUGGAACAUGCAUGCACACAUGCAUAUAUAUAUAUAUAUUAUCUUCCACCAACCUGGCUAGCUGGGCUCCGAUGAGAGUGCUUGGAGACACAAAAAGUAUGAAGGCUUGCUAAUGCAUAGAAUUCUUGGUUUUGUAUUAUUCUUGGCUUUGCUAAUACAUAGAAUUCUUGCACAACUUCUUUGAAAUAGUUGCUUUUUUCUCGUUUCACGUUGAUGUUUGCAUAUAUCUAUUGGCUUUGUCAUUGGAGCAUUCCGAUCUAGCUGCCUAUGAUUACCAUAGUGUGCAUUGUACUAAGAAUGGAGAUCUAAAUGCACUUCCUUGUUGAAGCCUGCUUGACCACUCUGGUACAUUGACAAUUCCAGGUUUUUGUAGGGUUCUGCUAGAGAUGCUCUUAACCUGCUGUUGCUGUUGCUGCUACCUCCAGCACUGGUGUUACUUUGGACGUCUAGGGGGGAGUGGGGGUGGGCGGUCCGGCUGGAGAUGCUCUUAAUUUCCUUUGACUGAGCUGGCUAAGUGGACUCCAGUUAAUAUAUUUGCUUUGUCCUUUGAGCAUUCUGGUCUAGCUGCCUGAUGAUUACCACUAAGAAUGGAGAUCUGAAUGCACUUCCCUGUUGAAGCUCGCUUGGCCGCUUUGGUGGAUUGGCAAUUCCAAGGGGUUUUUGGGGUCCGUUGGAGUUGCUCUUAACCUGCUGCUGCUGCUGCUGCUGCUUCUUCUACUACUACUAUACUACUACCAUCACUUCAGUUCCUUGCAUGCUUGGAACUACUCAACCCUCCUAAACUCUUAAUUGCCUUUGACCGAGCUGGUUAAGUGGACUCCAGGGAAUAAGUAUGUUGAUGCAAGAAGUACGAAUGAAGGCUUGGCUGAUCAAAAGAGUGCUCCUGUAUGUUUUUAUAGCGUUUUGCAACUCUGUUUGCUUAAUUGGUCAUUAGGGUGUUUUUGGAUUAGGGUGUUUCUGCAAAGCUCUAUUAUUCCGAUCUUUCUGGCAACUGAAUGUUGUUCCUUUUUCUGUUUGGUAUUGUCUUUUUUGGUUUGUGCACCUUGAAAUUUCCUUGUACCUCAGACAUAUUUGCUGAUUUCGUGUGUGUUUCCUCCGCCUGGUCUUAGUCUGAGGCACUUGUUGUUGGGUGUUGUUGGGUGGGGGUUGUCAAAUGAAUUGCGAACCUGAUGAUUAGCCUAAAAAUGGAGAUGUGAAUCCAUGUCUCUGUCGCUUCGCCUCGUGCUUGGUUCAUCCCAUCCUUUGUUUCUUGCCUGGGUUUCUCAGUAGUAAAUUGCAAAAACCCCAACAUGCAUGCAUGCACACAUGUACGCACAAAAAGUUUUGGCAGAUCGUUCAAUGCCCCCACUAGAUUCAUGUUAUGCUUGUUUAAGGAGCAUUUUAGCUUAGUUUGUGGCUGCCUGCUUUGCUUCCAUGGUUUAUUGCUUGAUGUCUUGCUGUAGAAAUCAUCAUGGAGAUAUUUGUUGGGUUCUGAACAGUUGCUGCCCUCCUUGCAUGCUUUAGUGCCUGUAUUUUGCUGUGGUUAUCAUGGAAAGAUUUGUUUGGAUCUGAAUUUUAUGUUUGGGUUUGUCCUUGGCCAGCCUUAUGAUUACCUAUGCAUAAAGAAUGGAGAUCUGAGUGCCUUUCGAAGCACACCUAGCUCAUGCUGCUGUGGUGGAUCCUACCCCCUCCAUUCCUAAAUAAUGUAGCAGAUUGGAUAUGCACAAAGCAAAUGGGCUCUGAGAAUGUGUGUGUAGAAUGGGCUAAAUGGCCAGCCUGAUAAAGGCCAGAAUACCUAGGCUUUCUCAGCUCCUUUGUACCUCAGCGGAGCUUAGGCUGCCGUGGUGGAUCCUACUCCCUCCAUUCCUAAAUAAUGUAGCAACUUGCUUUCAGGGAGUAAUUUGGAACGUGUAUGCACACACUCUCUCUAUAUAUAUCAGGGGGCGGGGGUCAGUAAACUGCCAGCCUGACGAUUAACCUAAGAAUGGAGAUCUGAAUCCAUUUCUCCUGUUGAAGCCUGCUUGGCUUUGAUUCAUCCCAUCCAUUGUUUCUUCGCUGGGUUUCUCUCAGGAGUAAGUUGAAACCCCAACAUGCACACAUAUACGUACAAGGCAGGCUAAAUGGGCUCCGGGAAUGGAUGCGUAGACUGUAGAAGCAAAUGUUAUGAAGGCUUUGCAGAUCGAUUAAUGCCCCCACUAGAUUUGUUUAGCAUCAUGGAAAUAUUUGUUGGUUUCUGUAGUCGCUGCAAACUCUUCUCACAGUUAAGACAUAACUUCUGUGUGUAUUAAAAGUACUUUCCUUUGGACAUUAGCAGGAUUAGCAGAUACGAGAAUCAAGUUAAUAAUAUCUGUAUAGUACUGUGUUUGUGUAUCUAAUAAGGUUAGUCAUAGUGGGGAGUAACUUGCUGUUAUGCAUAUGACACUAGUUUAUGUUACUGCCUUCAUAGACUAUGGGUAGUAUCAUGCAAGCCUUUAUUUGUUUAGAUGACUCAUUUUGCCUUUGGGUGUGUUAUGUUAUGGUGACAUAUUAUGUUACCACAAACACCUCUCAUUAACUACUUGCCACAUAAGCAAACUUGUCUUGGGGAGCGUUAUGUUACUAUCUUAGUUAGUCCCACUAUGGCCAGCCCAAGGAACAAUAUGUGCAUGGCCAGCCUGGUGAUUAACCUUUGCACAAAAAAUUAAGGCUGCUCCGUUGAAGCUUAGCUUGGCUUUGCCUGCUGUGGUGGAUCCUACUUCCAAGCAUUUUUCUCUUAGGAAUAAAUUGGAUCAUGCAACUCAGAUCAGACAUGUACAUACAUCUCAGAUCAGACAUCUCAGAUCAGACACCAGCCUUGUACAUACAUAUAUUGAUAUGUACAUACAUCUCAGAUCAGACACCAGCCUUGUUAGGCGGGCUCUGGUAAAUGCACAGAAUGCCCAGGUCCGUGACAAUCCUAGUUGAUGAAGUUGUUUGGACUAUCAACUUAUCUCAAACACACAACUUGGAAAUAGUUGCUAUGUUCUCGUUUUAUGUUGAGAUUUGCAGUUGAAAAUAUUGGCUUUGUCAUUCGAGCAUUCUGAUCUAGCUGCCUGAUGAUUUCCAUUGUGUGCACUAAGAAUGCCAAGCCUGUGGAAGUCUGCUUGGCCACUCUGGUGGAUUGGCUCUACUAUUAGCUUGCUCUGCCUGCUGCUGGGUAACUACUACCCUUUUUAUCCAUUUCGAUGACAAGUAUUUCGUGACGGAGGGAGUACAUUGUACCACUACUGCCACUCACCACCAACACCAUCGGCUCUUAUAUUUCUUUACGGAGGGAGUACUUCUCAAAUCUUUCUGAACUCUUCUGCCGAGCUGGCUAAGUGGACUCCAGGGAAGAAAUAUGCUGAAGCAAGAAGUAUGAAGGCUUGCAGAUUGAAAGAAUGCUCCAACUUGCCAUCCGCCAAUGCUUUAACAUUUUUUUGCAACUCUGCUGCUGAAUGGUCAUUGGUCUUUCUGCUAUGUUGAUUUACUCCCUAUUGUAUUUCUAUGUGUUGUUUUGGCAAAAUUGAUUGCUGGAUGUUCAUUGGUCCUUUUGGGGCGUGAUUUAUGUUUUUUUUUGGUUAUCUUCUUGAGCAAGCGAAUAUUGGUGCUCUUGCAGUUGUCACUGUCGUGUUUUUUGCCUGUGUUGCUGUGUGUGCUCGAUGAGAUAUCCUUUUGUACCUCUACCAAACAUUGUUGCUGACUACUUAUGUUAAUUCAUUGUGUUUUUAAAGUGUGUAUUUUUCAGGCAUUAGAUGGUUCGCCAUAUGGGACGAGGGUGGUCUGAAAGCAAAUAACAAUGUGAAGUUGUUGUGUCGUGGUAUAAAAACCAGAGAAUUUUACUCCAGUAAAUUUUUAGGCUGGUUUUGUAUUUGAUUCUUUGUAAAUGUGAUGUACAGUCUUGGCUUAUAAUGUACUUUGGUUUUAAAUACAUACUAUGGAUUUAGAUACAUA